AAAAAUCCACUUUAGACCUAAAUAAUUUUUAGGUAUCUAAUAACUACAGUUAUUGGAUUAUUUUUAAAAUAGGGUGUAACAUCCCGGUUUGUAUAUAUGCUGAAAGGGUUUAAAAAUUUAUUUGACUACAUAUGUCAUUAAAAUACAUUUAUUUUUUCGGUCAUACAUUCAAAAAGAACUCUUACAAUUAAACAUAUUUGGACUAGAGUAAUGGAAGAAUAUGUAAUAUAUCGGAAAGUGAUUCGCUAUAUCGUAAGGAUGAAGCAAAAUACGUAGAAAGUCAUGUGGUGAUUGCAAAGUCAGUAAACUCGAUUUUCAAACCUCCAAAAAUUAAUGCACCACUCAUCACACGAAAUAGAGCCCAUGAGCAUAGGUAAGGACCUUGGGGUGUAACGAAGUUGUCACGCUCUUUAAGAGAGGAUGAAUAACAACAUUCGGUUUGUGGUAAAUGUUGAAAGAUUUAAAAGAAUUGAUUUGGCUACGAUAUCACCAAAUUGUACUUACAUUUUCGAUCACACAUCUAAAAAAAUCCAUAAUUAAACGUAUUUGGGUUAUAUUAGUAGAAGAAUGUGUGUUCUAUUGGAAAGUGAUUUUCGAUAUCGUAAAAGUAAGACAAAAUUAAAGUUUUUUUUUUCUUUUUUGUCAAAAGACAAAAUUAAAGUUUAUGUAGUGAUUAUCUAUCUAUUUAUAUAAAACACAGUUUGCUCUCUUCUGAGCUAUGCUACAUAGGCAUCCACGUCGUAAACUCAGAGGCUGAAAACGCGACACUUGUCAAGUGAAGGCAAUGGUUAAUUUUUGGGUUUUGUUCCAUUUGCGAUUGAGAAUUUGAUAAGGGAAUCCAGCCUAUUACCAGAAACCCUACUCUUCCCCCCUACACAUUGUCGCCGUUGAGAUUCCGCCGUCCGUGUAUGGUUUGUCGGUUGCGAUUCUUCUUCAUCCAUAUAAACGGAUCCAGUUACAAAUUCAUUACAUUUAACCUCGCUUUAACUCCAUAACCACGAUCUUGCUUUCAAUGUGAGCUUAUCAUCUGUUAGUCGGUGACAUUUGCGUAUAAAAGUGCUCUUCCACUUUUGAUGUUAGAUGGAUGUUAGAUUGUUUUGUCUAACGGAGCCAUCGUGAGCUAUUAUGGCCACGUUCUACAGCAGAUAAGUUUUACUCUUCUUAUUAAUUAUUUAUCUUGCUUAUCAGUAUCUUCCUUUGUUUGCAAAUCUCAUGUUUUUAGUUUCUGAGUGGUUCUUAUUGUUUUGCCUGAUAUUUAGCAACUUACUCACUUGGUUCUUUGAGAAUCUAUCAAUUUCUCUACAAAGCUCAUGUUCUGAGUUUCUUUUUGUUGUUUUAUUUCUUUCCUAUUUUUCUACCAAUAGAUGAGCCUGAUUACUGAACAAUGUUCUUUUGUUUUUGUUAAUGGAGGACGUUGCAUCUUCUGCUGCAGCAGAGUCUUUGGAGAUAUAUACAUCUAUAUAUAUAACAAGUGAUAUAUUGGAAAUCUGAAUAGUGAAGUCAACAUAGAUUCAGAAAAUGACAGAUAUUUUGCUUACAGAAUAUAGAUAGAAACUCGAAGUUAUCAUCCCAUUAUAAAAGCAGUGUUAUUUCGUGAGUUAUUCAUUUGAAUUCUCACUUAUUUGGUUCUUUUACUGGCGUGAUAUUAGUCAUCAAAAACGAUGUGUCAGUGAGGAAGUAAUUUUGUUUGUUUACCCCAUAUGAAUUAUUACAUCCGUCACUUCUUUUGGCCCCCAACUCUCUCUCCUUCGUCUUUUGCAGUUGCAGCUCUAUUUUUGGAUUGUGUUUGUGGCGUUUGGAGAAGACCUAGAAGAAAAACAUGGCAUGAGGAUCUUAUUCGGCUCAAUAGCAAAUGCCGUGAAUGUGUUCACGUCUGCUUGACUACCACGGCGAUGUGUCCGUCGUCAAAACCGAGCGUUUGUUCUCCAAGCUGAUUGAAAAAAAGUUUUUUGUUUUCCAAUUUACUCUGUGAUCUUUUGUACUCUGUGAUCUUUUGAGAAAUUCGUGUUUACUCUGUGA